AUUUUUGUUAUUAUAAAUGAAUAUUGUUCUAAAUAAGUAUUUAUUUUUAAUUGUGAAAAUAUUAUAUUAUAAUUUUGGUGAUAAAUUAUAAUCCAAGUUGAACUUGGAAAUACUCGAGUUUCAAUUCACUGAAUUUAGAUAUUCAUCCCCAUCUAUCUGAAUUUCAAAUCCUACUUUAAUUGGACUUGCUCUAUGAUAGAAACCUACCAUUCAAAUAAGAGUCUUACUUAAUGUCUAUACAAGGGGGCUAAAGCCUUCAUACUCAGAUACGUUGUUCUCUAUAAUCAAUUUUAUAUUUUACUCAGUUCCAAUUACUAAUUUAGCCACCGGGUGUUCUCUUUUUUCUUGCAGGUCUAUACCCACAAGAAAAAUCUAAGAACAACAUCCCUGAGUAGUAUCAUAUAUUACAUAAGCGAUACUAGAAACCAUGAAACAGAUUUCUAAAUAAGUCAAUGCCAAGGACAUACUUUAUUCGCAAGAGAACUGUUAAAUUUACUUAUUAAAAAAAAUUGUGGGCAAUAUCCAUUUUUCUUUCCAUAAAUCAUGUGGAAAAUACACAUAUCUAAAUGGUUGAUAAUCCAGGAUAUAAAAUAAAAGAAGUGAGAAGUGAAAUUAUAUAUGGAAAUUGUGUCAAGCUGCAUAUUCCAAUCAGAAAUCAAUACCAGGUUUUAGAUCCCAGAUGCAUUACAUUCUUCAAGUAGUUUUAUCAAAUUAUGUUCAGGAGCACUGAUGGACGGUAGGAUCAAUCUACUGCUCUGGAUUGGCCGCGGCUUUGUCCCAGGAGACUCAGAUUCAAGGGCCCCACCUUCUUUCAUAACAGGCAAGUCAGCUCUCCUCCUCACAGUUGCAGAUACUCGCUCUUUCCAUAGUCUUCCAUCCUGACAUUUGAAGAAGAUGAUAUCAAAAUUUAUAAAACAUGGCAGCAGUAACCUAAAAGAAUCGAGCAUGUGCAAUGAAAAGUGGAAGUCUUUUAUAUCAGCAACAAAUUCAUCCACAAAAAUACCCCAUGACGCAAAAGUGAAUAAAGAAUCCACUCCAUUGGUUCUCUCUGUAAUAUUCUCAUUGGAUAUUUAAUUUUCCAAUUGCUGCCAGUUCUCACUUAAGCCAUGACUGGCUUAUUUCACCCGAGUACUGUUAGGCAAGAACUUUAUGUUGGACACAGAAGAAAUCACCCUAAAAAAACCAUAAUGAUAGGCAGCAUUUUCCUUUCGUAGCAAGUCAUUCAGUUAAUCCUAAAUGAAAGUAUGAUGACAAUCCACAAGCUAGUUCAAAUAAUUACUCCCACAGGAGGCCAAACAUAAUGAAAAAUAUUGAACAGCUCGUUUGGAUGUUUCCCUGUGUAGCACGGAAACAAAAACAGAAACGCAAAAUGCGAAAAUGGACCUAAGAAAAUGCAAAAAUGGAUACAGGAAAACGGUAUUUUAAAAAAUAUAGAAAACGAAAACGUAGGAAAAAUGCGUAAAUAUAAAAAAUAUAGGGGUAGAUUUAUAAAUAUAAAAUAUAUUUAUAUAAAUAUUAUUUAAGAUCUAAU
rnacentral:misc_RNA from 1 species